CUACAACAUUGUAAGGGUAGUUU
rnacentral:snRNA from 1 species